rnacentral:rRNA from 1 species
UAACAUGCAAGUCGAACGGCAGCACGGACUUCGGUCUGGUGGCGAGUGGCGAACGGGUGAGUAAUGCGCCGGAACGUAUCCAGUAGAGGGGGAUAACGCAGCGAAAGCUGUGCUAAUACCGCAUACGCCCUGAGGGGGAAAGCAUGGGAUCUUCGGACCAUGCGUUAUUGGAGCGGCCGACGUCUGAUUAGCUAGUAGGUGAGGUAAAGGCUCACCUAGGCGAUGAUCAGUAGCUGGUCUGAGAGGAUGAUCAGCCACACUGGAACUGAGAGACGGUCCAGACUCCUACGGGAGGCAGCAGUGGGGAAUUUUGGACAAUGGGCGCAAGCCUGAUCCAGCCAUUCCGCGUGAGUGAAGAAGGCCUUCGGGUUGUAAAGCUCUUUCGGCAGGAAAGAAAAGGUUCUGGUUAAUAGCUGGAACUGCUGACGGUACCGGAAGAAGAAGCACCGGCUAACUACGUGCCAGCAGCCGCGGUAAUACGUAGGGUGCGAGCGUUAAUCGGAAUUACUGGGCGUAAAGCGUGCGCAGGCGGUUUGGUAAGACAGAUGUGAAAUCCCCGGGCUUAACCUGGGAACUGCAUUUGUGACUGCCAGACUAGAGUGUAGCAGAGGGGGGUAGAAUUCCACGUGUAGCAGUGAAAUGCGUAGAGAUGUGGAGGAAUACCGAUGGCGAAGGCAGCCCCCUGGGCUAACACUGACGCUCAUGCACGAAAGCGUGGGGAGCAAACAGGAUUAGAUACCCUGGUAGUCCACGCCCUAAACGAUGUCAACUAGGUGUUGGGGAAGGAGACUUCUUUAGUACCGCAGCUAACGCGUGAAGUUGACCGCCUGGGGAGUACGGUCGCAAGAUUAAAACUCAAAGGAAUUGACGGGGACCCGCACAAGCGGUGGAUUAUGUGGAUUAAUUCGAUGCAACGCGAAAACCUUACCUACCCUUGACAUGUCAGA